rnacentral:lncRNA from 1 species
AUGCACCGUUCCCUCGCUCACCUGGAGACCGCUGGGAGCACUGUGAGAAUCAUGUUCUUUGAUUUCUCCAGUGCCUUUAACACCAUUCUUCCGUCGGUUCUGAAGGACAAGCUGGAGAACUCAGGAGUGGACCAUCACCUCACUACCUGGAUUUUGGACUACCUCACCGACCGACCGCAGUAUGUGAGGACUCAGGGCUGUGUGUCGGACAGGGUCGUCUGCAGUACGGGGGCCCCACAGGGAACGGUUCUGGCUCCGUUCCUCUUCACCAUCUACACUGCAGACUUCUCCCACAACUCCACCCAGUGCUUCCUGCAGAAGUUCUCUGAUGACUCUGCAAUAGUCGGCCUCAUCAUUGAUGGGGAUGACAAGGAGUACAGAGGACUGACUCAGGACUUUGUGGACUGGUGCCAGCUGAACUACCUCCAGAUCAAUGCCAGUAAAACCAAGGAGCUGGUGGUAGACUUCCGCAGGCACAAACAUCCUCCACUGCAACCACUGAACAUCCAAGGUAUGGACAUUGAGACUGUGGACAGCUACAGGUACCUUGGUGUUCAUCUGAACAACAAACUGGACUGGACUCAUAACUCAGACGCCCUCUACAGGAAAGGGCAGAGCAGGCUGUACCUGCUGCGGAGACUCAGGUCGUUUGGAGUGGAGGGCCCACUCCUGAAGACCUUCUAUGACUCUGUGGUGGCCUCAGCCAUCUUUUAUGGUGUGGUCUGCUGGGGAGGCAGCAUCUCUGCUGGGGACAGGAAGAGACUGAACAGGCUGAUCCGAAGGGCCAGCUCUGUUCUAGGAUGCCCUCUGGACCCAGUGGAGGUGGUGAGUGACAGGAGAAUGGGGGCUAAGCUGUCAUCCCUGUUGGACAACAUCUCCCACCCUAUGCAUGAGACUGUGACAGCACUGAGCAGCUCCUUCAGUGGGAGACUGCGGCACCCACGGUGUGGGACGGAGAGAUUUCGCAGGUCUUUCCUCCCCACUGCUGUCAGACUCCACAAUAAAGCAUUUAACUGA